rnacentral:rRNA from 1 species
GACGAAUGCUGGCGGCGUGCUUAACACAUGCAAGUCGAACGGAAAGGCCCUGCUUUUGUGGGGUGCUCGAGUGGCGAACGGGUGAGUAACACGUGAGUAACCUGCCCUUGACUUUGGGAUAACUUCAGGAAACUGGGGCUAAUACCGGAUAGGAGCUCCUGCCGCAUGGUGGGGGUUGGAACGUUUCGGCGGUUGGGGAUGGACUCGCGGCUUAUCAGCGUGUUGGUGGGGUAGUGGCUUACCAAGGCUUUGACGGGUAGCCGGCCUGAGAGGGUGACCGGCCACAUUGGGACUGAGAUACGGCCCAGACUCCUACGGGCGGCAGCAGUGGGGAAUAUUGCACAAUGGGCGGAAGCCUGAUGUAGGAACGCCGGGUGCGGGAUGACGGCCAUCGGGUUGUAGACCGCUUUCGCAUGCGACGAAGCGUGAGUGACGGUAAUGGGUAAAGACGCACCGGCUAACUACGUG